AUUGAACGCUGGCGGCAUGCCUUACACAUGCAAGUCGAACGGCAGCGCGGGAGCAAUCCUGGCGGCGAGUGGCGAACGGGUGAGUAAUACAUCGGAACGUGCCCAAUCGUGGGGGAUAACGCAGCGAAAGCUGUGCUAAUACCGCAUACGAUCUACGGAUGAAAGCAGGGGACCUUCGGGCCUUGCGCGAAUGGAGCGGCCGAUGGCAGAUUAGGUAGUUGGUGGGGUAAAGGCUCACCAAGCCGACGAUCUGUAGCUGGUCUGAGAGGA
rnacentral:rRNA from 1 species